rfam:Capsicum annuum cultivar Zunla-1 chromosome 3, whole genome shotgun sequence
UAAUGAUGAAAAGGGAAACUCUGAAGCAUUCCCUUAAACCUCUCCCAAGCUUGGUAUAGAUUUUUUUCUUCUUUCUACCUAAAACUGAGAAUCUCGCUUCUCAAAUA